rnacentral:rRNA from 1 species
CAAUAGCGUAUAUUAAAGUUGUUGCAGUUAAAAAGCUCGUAGUUGGACCUUGGACCUGGACAGGCGGUCCGCCUCACGGCGUGUACUGUCUUGCUGGGUCUUUCCUCUUGGUGAUCUGUUGUUUCGGCAGCAGGGAACCAGGACUUUUACUUUGAAAAAAUUAGAGUGUUCAAAGCAGGCUCGACGCCGGAAUAUAUUAGCAUGGAAUAAUAAAAUAGGACGUGCGGUUCUAUUUUGUUGGUUUUUGGAAUCGCCGUAGUGAUUAAUAGGGACAGUCGGGGGCAUUAGUACUCACAUGCUAGAGGUGAAAUUCUUGGAUUUUGUGAAGACUAACUUCUGCGAAAGCAUUUGCCAAGGAUGUUUUCAUUAA